GGGGGUGUAGCUCAGUUGGCAGAGCGUGUCAUUUGCAUCCACAAGUUGACAAGGUCUUUGGUUCAAUUCCGAACUCCUCCA